rnacentral:rRNA from 1 species
UAAGACGAACCGUGCGAACGUUGUUCGGAAUCACUGGGCUUAAAGGGCGCGUAGGCGGGCCGCCAGGCCCGUGGUGAAAUCCCCCGGCUCAACCGGGGAAGUGCCGCGGGGACCGGCGGUCUGGAGUGAGAUAGGGGCGUGCGGAACUGUGGGUGGAGCGGUGAAAUGCGUUGAUAUCCACAGGAACUCCGGUGGCGAAGGCGGCACGCUGGAUCUCUACUGACGCUGAGGCGCGAAAGCCAGGGGAGCGAACGGGAUUAGAUACCCCGGUAGUCCUGGCCCUAAACGUUGGGGACUGGGUAGCAGGCCGGACAUGGGCUUGCUGCCGGAGCGAAAGUGUUAAGUCCCCCGCCUGGGGAGUAUGGUCGCAAGGCUG